rnacentral:rRNA from 1 species
UGGGGAAUAUUGCACAAUGGGGGAAACCCUGAUGCAGCGACGCCGCGUGAGCGAUGAAGGCUCUCGAGUCGUAAAGCUCUGUCCUAUGGGAAGAUAAUGACGGUACCAUAGAAGAAAGCCCCGGCUAAUUACGUGCCAGCAGCCGCGGUAAUACGUAAGGGGCGAGCGUUGUCCGGAAUUAUUGGGCGUAAAGAGUGCGUAGGCGGCAAAUUAAGUCAGAUGUGAAAACUAAGGGCUCAACCCAUAGAUUGCAUCUGAAACUGAUAUGCUUGAGUCAAGGAGAGGAAAGUGGAAUUCCUAGUGUAGCGGUGGAAUGCGUAGAUAUUAGGAGGAAUACCGGUGGCGAAGGCGACUUUCUGGACUUGAACUGACGCUGAGGCACGAAAGCGUGGGGAGCAAACAGG